AGGAGGAACAACCCCAGUGGCGGGGCCAGCUCUGCAGCCCUGGAGUUAGCUCCUGCAGUAACUCCGGAGCUCUGGGUCUGCAGGGCCUGGAGGCUCCGGGGCGGG
rnacentral:pre_miRNA from 1 species